rnacentral:rRNA from 1 species
UGAGGAAUAUUGCGCAAUGGGCGAAAGCCUGACGCAGCGACGCCGCGUGGAGGAUGAAGGUUUUCGGAUUGUAAACUCCUGUUAAGGGUGAAGAAAACUUCACAAGUAAUAUGUGUGAAGCAUGACUGUAUCCCUAGAGAAAGCACCGGCUAACUUCGUGCCAGCAGCCGCGGUAAUACGAGGGGUGCGAGCGUUAUUCGGAAUGAUUGGGCGUAAAGAGUGCGUAGGCGGUGUGCUAAGUCUAUUGUUAAAUACUUCGGCCUAACCGAGGAACUGCGAUAGAUACUGGUGUGCUAGAGGGUGGGAGAGAGAAGUGGAAUUCUUGGAGUAGCGGUAAAAUGCUUAGAUCUCAAGAGGAACACCAAUGGCGAAGGCAGCUUCUUGGCCCAUUCCUGACGCUGAGGUACGAAAGCGUGGGGAGCAAACAGGAUUAGAUACCCCUGUAGUCC